UUCGGUUGAUCCUGCCGGAGGUCACUGCUAUUGGGAUUCGACUAAGCCAUGCGAGUCGAGAGGGUUCGGCCCUCGGCUGACGGCUCAGUAACACGUGGAUAAUCUGCCCUUAGGUGGAGGAUAAUCUCGGGUAACUGAGGAUAAUACUCCAUAGAUCUAGGAUGCUGGAAUGCAUUUAGAUUGAAAGCUCCGGCGCCUAAGGAUGAGUCUGCGGACUAUCAGGUUGUAGUCAGGAUAAAGACCUGACUAGCCUACGACGGAUACGGGUUGUGAGAGCAAUAACCCGGAGACGAUAUCUGAGACACGAUAUCGGGCCCUGCGGGGCGCAGCAGGCGCGAAAACUUCACACUGUGCGAAAGCGCGAUGAGGGAAUCCCAAGUGCUUACUCGAAAGAGUAAGCUGUUUCUUUGUCUAAAAAGCAGAGAGAGUAAGGGCUGGGUAAGACGGGUGCCAGCCGCCGCGGUAAUACCUGCAGCUCAAGUGGUGAUCAUUAUUAUUGGGCCUAAAACGUCCGUAGCCUGUUUAGUAAAUGCCUGGGUAAAUCGUGUAGCUUAACUAUACGAAUUCCGGUUAGACUGCUAAACUUGAGACCGGGAGAGGCUAGAGGUACUCCUGGGGUAGAGGUGAAAUUCUGUAAUCCUAGGGGGACCACCAGUGGCGAAGGCGUCUAGCUAGAACGGGUCUGACGGUGAGGGACGAAGCCCUGGGGCACAAACCGGAUUAGAUACCCGGGUAGUCCAGGGUGUAAACGCUGCUUGCUUGAUGUUAGUUGGGCUCCGAGCCCAACUAGUGUCGGAGAGAAGUUGUUAAGCAAGCUGCCUGGGAAGUACGGUCGCAAGGCUGAAACUUAAAGGAAUUGGCGGGGGAGCACAGCAACGGGUGGAGCGUGCGGUUUAAUUGGAUCCAACGCCGGAAAACUCACCGGAGGCGACGGUUACAUGAAGGCCAGGCUGAUGACCUUGCUUGAUUUUCCGAGAGGUGGUGCAUGGCCGCCGUCAGUUCGUACCGUAAGGCGCUCUGUUAAGUCAGACAACGAACGAGACCCUCAUCUUUAAUUGCUACUAGUAAGUCCGCUUACUGGGCACAUUAGAGAAACCGCUGGCGAUAAGUCAGAGGAAGGCGAGGGCAACGGUAGGUCAGUAUGCCCUGAAUCCUCCGGGCUACACGCGCGCUACAAAGCUAGGACAAUGGGUUUCAACACCGAGAGGUGAAGGUAAUCUCGAAACCUAGUCAUAGUUCGGAUUGAGGGUUGAAACUCACCCUCAUGAAGCUGGAAUCCGUAGUAAUCGCGGAUCAAAAUCCCGCGGUGAAUAUGCCCCUGCUCCUUGCACACACCGCCCGUCAAGCCAUGCGAGUUGGGUUUGAGUGAGGAUGUAGUUUUUGCUACGUUCAAACUUAGGCUUAGUAAGCGGGGUUAAGUCGUAACAAGGUAUCCGUA
rnacentral:rRNA from 1 species